rnacentral:rRNA from 1 species
CAGCCGCCGCGGUAAUACGUAGGGUGCGAGCGUUAAUCGGAAUUACUGGGCGUAAAGCGUGCGCAGGCGGUUCGUUAAGACAGAUGUGAAAUCCCCGGGCUUAACCUGGGAACUGCAUUUGUGACUGGCGAGCUAGAGUAUGGCAGAGGGGGGUAGAAUUCCACGUGUAGCAGUGAAAUGCGUAAAGAUGUGGAGGAAUACCGAUGGCGAAGGCAGCCCCCUGGGCCAAUACUGACGCUCAUGCACGAAAGCGUGGGGAGCAAACAGGAUUAGAUACCCCUGUAGUCCCUGUCUCUUAUAC